GACGAACGCUGGCGGCGUGCCUAAUACAUGCAAGUAGGACGCAGUUGCGAAUGGGUGAGUAACGCCUAGGUAACUGCCUCUUUGAGGGGGAUAACUAUUGGCAACGAUAGCUAAUCCCGCAUACUAGUAGAUGGACCUGCGUUGUAUUAGCUAGUAGGUAGGGUAAUGGGCUACCUAGGCAACGAUACAUAGCCGACCCUGGAGGGUGGACGGCCACACUGGGACUGAGACACGGGCCAGACUCCUUCGGGAGGCAGCAAGAGGGGAACAUCGGCAAUGGGGGGAACCCUGACCGAGCAACGCCGCGUGAGUGAAGAAAGGUUUCGGGUCGGAAAGCUCUGUUGUGAAGGAAGCGGUACUUACCCAGGAAGGGCCGGCUAACUACGUGCCAGCAGCCGCGGUAAUUC
rnacentral:rRNA from 1 species